rnacentral:rRNA from 1 species
AUUGAACGCUGGCGGCAUGCCUAACACAUGCAAGUCGAACGAAGCCUUCGGGCUUAGUGGCGCACGGGUGCGUAACGCGUGGGAACCUGCCCUUGGGUUCGGAAUAACAGUUAGAAAUGACUGCUAAUACCGGAUGAUGACUUCGGUCCAAAGAUUUAUCGCCCAAGGAUGAGCCCGCGUAGGAUUAGGUAGUUGGUGGGGUAAUGGCCUACCAAGCCGACGAUCCUUAGCUGGUCUGAGAGGAUGAUCAGCCACACUGGGACUGAGACACGGCCCAGACUCCUACGGGAGGCAGCAGUGGGGAAUAUUGGACAAUGGGCGAAAGCCUGAUCCAGCAAUGCCGCGUGAGUGAUGAAGGCCUUAGGGUUGUAAAGCUCUUUUACCAGGGAUGAUAAUGACAGUACCUGGAGAAUAAGCUCCGGCUAACUCCGUGCCAGCAGCCGCGGUAA